UACGUAGGGUGCGCGCGUUAAUCGGAAUUACUGGGCGUAAAGGGCUCGUAGGCGGCCAACUAAGUCAGACGUGAAAUCCCUCGGCUUAACCGGGGAACUGCGUCUGAUACUGGAUGGCUUGAGUUUGGGAGAGGGAUGCGGAAUUCCAGGUGUAGCGGUGAAAUGCGUAGAUAUCUGGAGGAACACCGGUGGCGAAGGCGGCAUCCUGGACCAACACUGACGCUGAGGAGCGAAAGCCAGGGGAGCAAACGGG
rnacentral:rRNA from 1 species